rnacentral:rRNA from 1 species
UACGGGGGGGGCAAGCGUUGUUCGGAAUUACUGGGCGUAAAGGGCUCGUAGGCGGCCAACUAAGUCAGGCGUGAAAUCCCUCGGCUUAACCGGGGAACUGCGUCUGAUACUGGAUGGCUUGAGUUCGGGAGAGGGAUGCGGAAUUCCAGGUGUAGCGGUGAAAUGCGUAGAUAUCUGGAGGAACACCGGUGGCGAAGGCGGCAUCCUGGACCGAUACUGACGCUGAGGAGCGAAAGCCAGGGGAGCAAACGGG